rnacentral:ribozyme from 1 species
CUGUUUUUACUCUGUGUUUUUUCCCCCUGGCUGACAAUGCUUUUCCUGUGUUAUCUUCCAAAGUCCCCGAUUCGAAUUCGGGUGGGCCCUAAGAGUAAAAACUCCAUCUUACGGAACCAAACUAAAAAAAGGUCCCGACUUUCCCCUUUUUUUUUAAAAAAAAAAAAAAAAAAAAAAAAAAAAA